rnacentral:lncRNA from 1 species
GGGGCGUCGCUCCGGCUACUUAAUUUGAUAGGGAGCUAGAAAAGACCGGUUGCUUCAUUUUGACCUAAUGUCUGCGCUGCUCCCAGAUGGGCUUUAGAAGAAAAGAGAACGUCAGAGCUGGACAUGGAACGGAGAGUGUUCUGGAAGCUGGAAACGCUCUAGAAUUAGAAAAUAUCGGGAUUGGGAGGGUCCUUACAGUAGAGAACGUCAGAGCCGAGAGAAGAGGGAAUAGCAGAAUUGGGAGAGGCUCCUUACAACAGAGGACGGCAGAGCUGAAAAAAUACUGAAUAGAGAAUGUCAGUGCUGGAGGUUGUAGAGCAGAGAACUUCGGGACUGAGAGGGUCCUUCAGUAGAGAAUAUCAGAGCUGAGAGGACAUAGAACGGAGAAUGUUCUGGAAGCUGGAAAUGUUCUAGAAUUAGAAAAUAUCGGGAUUGGGAGGGUCCUUACAGUAGAGAACGUCAGAGCCGAGAGAAGAGGGAAUAGCAGAAUUGGGAGAGGCUCCUUACAACAGAGGACGGCAGAGCUGAAAAAAUACUGAAUAGAGAAUGUCAGUGCUGGAGGUUGUAGAGCAGAGAACUUCGGGACUGAGAGG